GGAAUAUUGCGCAAUGGCCGAAAGGCUGACGCAGCGACGCCGUGUGUGGGAGGAAGCCCUUCGGGGUGUAAACCACUGUCAGGGGGGAAGAACACCGAUCGGUCGAAUAGGCCGGCCGGUUGACGGUCCCUCCAAAGGAAGCGCCGGCUACACCCGUUCCAGCAGCCGCGGUAAGACGGAGGGCGCAAGCGUUGUUCGGAAUUACUGGGCGUAAAGCGCGGGCAGGCGGUCCGUUAAGUCUGCGGUGAAAUCCCGGGGCUCAACCCCGGGUACGCCGCGGAUACUGGCGGACUGGAGACCGGUAGAGGCGAGUGGAAUUCCUGGUGUAGCGGUGGAAUGCGUAGAUAUCAGGAAGAACACCGGUGGCGAAGGCGGCUCGCUGGGCCGGUUCUGACGCUCAGCCGCGAAAGCGUGGGGAGCAAA
rnacentral:rRNA from 1 species